AGCUCUGUGCAGUGGCAGUAUUGUAGCCAAUGAGGCUUAUCUGGGGUGCGAUUAUUGCUAAUUGAAAACUUUUCACGAUACCCCGCCAUGAUGACUUGAAAUAUAGUCAGAGUUGGCCAUUUUUGGCAGUCUCUAUGGAGA
ensembl:snRNA U4 U4 spliceosomal RNA